rnacentral:rRNA from 1 species
CUCCACCCAGACUCAUCCAUCUACCAUUGACACAGGUAGAUAAGAAGAGUAUUCUAAGGCGCACGAGUGAGCCCUCUUUUAGGAACUAGGCAAGUUAGCCCCGUAACUUCGGGAAAAGGGGCGCCUUAUUAGGGUGAAGCCGUACAGGCGGAGCCCGAGGAGGCCGCAGAGAAAUGGCUCUAGCGACUGUUAAUAAAAACACAGGACUCUGCAAAGACAUAAAAUCGAUGUAUAGGGUCUGACGCCUGCCCGGUGCUGGAAGGUUAAGGGAAGGGGUUAGCCGUAAGGCGAAGCUCUGAACCGAAGCCCCAGUAAACGGCGGCCGUAACGAUAACGGUCCUAAGGUAGCGAAAUUCCUUGUCGGGUAAGUUCCGACCCGCACGAAAGGCGUAACGACUUGAGCGCUGUCUCAAAGAGGGGCUCGGCGAAAUUGUGGUACCGGUGAAGACGCCGGUUACCUGCCGCUGGACGGAAAGACCCCGGCACCUUAACUGCAUCCUAGCAUUGGAUUUCGGUCCAUGAUGCGCAGGAUAGGUGGGAGGCUAUGAAGCAUCGGCUCCGGCCGGUGUGGAGCCAACGGUGAGAUACCACUCUUCCUGGUCUGAGAUUCUAACCUCCGCCCCUGAUCGGGGCGAGGAACAGUGUUAGGUGGGUAGUUUGACUGGGGCGGUCGCCUCCUAAAAUGUAACGGAGGCGCCCAAAGGUUCCCUCAGGUUGUUUGGAAAUCAACCGCAGAGUGCAAAGGCAUAAGGGAGCUUGACUGUGAGGCCGACGGGCCGAACAGGUGGGAAACCAGGGCUUAGUGAUCCGGUGAUCCUGUAUGGAAGGGUCGUCGCUCAACGGAUAAAAGGUACGCCGGGGAUAACAGGCUAAUAGUGUCCAAGAGCUCACAUCGACGACACUGUUUGGCACCUCGAUGUCGGCUCACCUCAUCCUGGGGCUGAAGCAGGUCCCAAGGGUCCGGCUGUUCGCCGGUUAAAGAGGUACGUGAGCUGGGUUUAGAACGUCGCGAGACAGUUCGGUCCCUAUCCACGGUAGGCGUAGGAGAUUUGAGGGGGGCUGCCCAUAGUACGAAAGGACCUGGGUGGACGAACCUCUAGUGUACCAGUUGUCCCGCCAGGGGCAGCGCUGGGUAGCUACGUUCGGUUGUGAUAACCGCUGAAAGCAUAUAAGCGGGAAGCACGCCCCAAGAUAAGAUCUCCCUCCCGCAAGGGCUGAAGGUCCCUGGUAGACGACCAGGUUGAUAGGCUGGAGGUGUAAGCGCAGAGAUGCGUUCAGCUGACCAGUACUAAUAGACCGUGAGGCUUGACUAA